rnacentral:rRNA from 1 species
CCUACGGGAGGCAGCAGUAGGGAAUUUUCCACAAUGGACGAAAGUCUGAUGGAGCAACGCCGCGUGAGUGAAGAAGGGUUUCGGCUCGUAAAGCUCUGUUGGUAGUGAAGAAAGAUAGAGGUAGUAACUGGCCUUUAUUUGACGGUAAUUACUUAGAAAGUCACGGCUAACUACGUGCCAGCAGCCGCGGUAAUACGUAGGUGGCAAGCGUUGUCCGGAUUUAUUGGGCGUAAAGCGAGUGCAGGCGGUUCAAUAAGUCUGAUGUGAAAGCCUUCGGCUCAACCGGAGAAUUGCAUCAGAAACUGGUGAACUGGAGAGCAGAAGAGGAGAGUGGAACGCCAUGGGUAGCGGUGGAAUGCGUAGAUAUAUGGAAGAACACCAGUGGCGAAGGCGGCUCUCUGGUCUGCAACUGACGCUGAGGCUCGAAAGCAUGGGUAGCGAACAGGAUUAGAUACCCCAGUAGUC